rnacentral:rRNA from 1 species
UACGCAGGACCCGAGCGUUAUCCGGAUUUAUUGGGUUUAAAGGGUGCGUAGGCGGACUUACAAGUCAGUGGUGAAAUCUCCCCGCUCAACGGGGAAACUGCCAUUGAAACUAUUUGUCUUGAGUACAUUUGAGGCGGGCGGAAUGUGUCAUGUAGAGGUGAAAUUCUUAGAUAUGACACAGAACACCAAUUGCGAAGGCAGCUCGCUAAACUGUAACUGACGCUGAGGCACGAAAGCGUGGGUAGCAAACAGG